GUGAACGCUGGCGGUAGGCCUAACACAUGCAAGUCGAACGGCAGCACAGUAAGAGCUUGCUCUUAUGGGUGGCGAGUGGCGGACGGGUGAGGAAUACAUCGGAAUCUACUCUGUCGUGGGGGAUAACGUAGGGAAACUUACGCUAAUACCGCAUACGACCUACGGGUGAAAGCAGGGGAUCUUCGGACCUUGCGCGAUUGAAUGAGCCGAUGUCGGAUUAGCUAGUUGGCGGGGUAAAGGCCCACCAAGGCGACGAUCCGUAGCUGGUCUGAGAGGAUGAUCAGCCACACUGGAACUGAGACACGGUCCAGACUCCUACGGAGGCAGCAGUGGGGAAUAUUGGACAAUGGGCGCAAGCCUGAUCCAGCCAUACCGCGUGGGUGAAGAAGGCCUUCGGGUUGUAAAACUCUUUUAGCAGGGAAAUAAUGAUGGUACCUGCAGAAAAAGUCUCGGCUAAC
rnacentral:rRNA from 1 species